rnacentral:rRNA from 1 species
UACGUAGGGUGCGAGCGUUAAUCGGAAUUACUGGGCGUAAAGCGUGCGCAGGCGGUUCGUUGUGUCGGUGGUGAAAGCCCCGGGCUUAACCUGGGAAUGGCCAUGGAAACUGGCGAACUGGAGUGUGGCAGAGGGGGGUGGAAUUUCCUGUGUAGCGGUGAAAUGCGUAGAUAUAGGAAGGAACACCAGUGGCGAAGGCGACCACCUGGACUGAUACUGACACUGAGGUGCGAAAGCGUGGGGAGCAAACAGG